rnacentral:rRNA from 18 species
UCAAGCAACUAAGCGCAUACGGUGGAUGCCUUGGCAGUCAGAGGCGAUGAAAGACGUGGAAGCCUGCGAUAAGGUUCGGGGAGCUGGCAAACAAGCUGUGAUCCGGGCAUUUCUGAAUGGGGAAACCCACCGACUUUCGGGUCGGUAUCUUGCACUGAAUACAUAGGUGUAAGAGGCGAACCGGGGGAACUGAAACAUCUAAGUACC